UUCACCUGUCAGAGUACAGUUGUAAUGAGAUUUGUACAUUAUAUUCACCUUUCAGAGUACACCUGUAAUGAGAUUUGUACAUUAUAUUAACCUGUCAGAGUACACCUGUAAUGAGAUUUGUACAUUAUAAUCACCUGUCAGAGUACACCUGUAAUGAGAUUUGUACAUUAUAUUCACCUGUCAGAGUACACCUGUAAUGAGAUUUGUACAUUAUAUUUACCUGUCAUAGUACACCUGUAAUGAGAUUUGUACAUUAUAAUCACCUGUACAUUAUAAUCACCUGUCAGAGUACACCUGUAAUGAGAUUUGUACAUUAUCAGGAUAUAGGGCCCACGGCGAGUGUGACCGGUCAACAGCGGAUGCUUAGUCCUCCUAGGCACCUGAUCCCACCUCUGGUGUGUCUAGGGGUCCGUGUUUGCCCAACUAUCUAUUUUGUAUUGCUUAUAGGAGUUAUGAGAUUGAUCACUGUUCGUUAUCUUCACCUUGCAUUCACCUGUCAGAAUACACCUGUAAUGAGAUGUGUACAUUAUAUUUACCUGUCAGAGUACACCUGUAAUGACAUUUAUACAUUAUAUUAACCUGUCAAGUACACCUGUAAGAAGAUUUGUACGUUUUAUUCACCUGUCAGAGUACACCUGUAAUGGUAUUUGUACGUUUGUUUACCUGUUAAUGUAUACAUCUGCAAAGAAAUAUUGAAUAAAGAACAAAUUAUCCUAUUUCUUUCAAUUUCAAAUAAUUUUUAUUCAUGAAUUUAACCCACCAUGGACCACAUUUCUAAAACGAAAGUAGAUUAGGGCUGUGACGUGUACUUUAAAUAAACUGCUUGUAAAAACAGGAAGAAGAGGGAAACUAUAGCGUUUUGGCAGUUUUUUAUUGUUCCCUUUGUUUGGAAUGAUUUUUUUCCAAGACAACCAGCUGUUGUUAAUAACAUCAAUAUAAAUGAUAGUGUUUGGAAGUAUAUUGUUCUGGUGGAAGGAGUCCUGCUCUUUAUUUGCCUUACAGUAUUCAUCUACUGUUAUUUCGAAUUCGGUUCAUCGCCAUCUGAGUGUCAUAAAGAAUAAAGACAGGGAAGACUUCUGCAGAAUAAAGACAGGGAAGACUUCUCCAGAAUAAAGACAGGGAAGACUUCUCCAGAAUAAAGACAGGGAAGACUUCUCCAAUCGUGGAAGUGACGACAUCAGUUUUAAAGUUAACUUGCUGAAACAGUAAACUCAUUGUAUUUUCUUAUGAACAUUGUUAACAUUGCUGAGUUGGAAAUACAUGUACUGUAGGGGGUUAUGAGAUUAAUCAAUGUGCGUUAUAUUCACCUUUCAUGUAAUAAAACGCACGAAUUAU